UUUAUUUUCUUUUGUAUAAAAGACGCUCAGACGGCACUGUUACAACUUUUGGUUUUGUAAAUGCCGGCGGGCUCGCGGCGUGAACCGCUGCGCCCGCCGAAGUAGGGGGGGUGGUAAGCAAAGGGUUGGGGAGGGACGAGCCCGCGCCCGCGGCCCGAGGGCCGGGACGCAAUGGCAUCGCCUUGUUACUCCUUAAUGAUCCUUCCGCAGGUUCACCUACGGAAA
rnacentral:misc_RNA from 1 species